UGAGGGAUGGCCCGGUGGUUAAGGCGCUUUCUAUCAAGAUGUAGGUUUCUGGUUCGAUUCCUGUUGUUCUG
rnacentral:tRNA from 1 species